CCUACGGGAGGCAGCAGUGAGGAAUAUUGGUCAAUGGCCGAGAGGCUGAACCAGCCAAGUCGCGUGAGGGAAGACGGCCCUACGGGUUGUAAACCUCUUUUGUCGGGGAGCAAAGCGAACCACGUGUGGUUCAUUGAGAGUACCCGAAGAAAAAGCAUCGGCUAACUCCGUGCCAGCAGCCGCGGUAAUACGGAGGAUUCAAGCGUUAUCCGGAUUUAUUGGGGUUAAAGGGUGCGUAGGCGGUUCGAUAAGUUAGAGGUGAAAGUCCGUGGCUCAACCACGGCACUGCCGCUGAGACUGGUGGGCUAGAGUAUAGUUGCGGUAGGCGGAAUGUAUGGUGUAGCGGUGAAAUGCAUAGAUAUCAUACAGAACACCGAUUGCGAAGGCAGCUUACCAAACUACGACUGACGUUGAGGCACGAAAGCGUGGGGAGCAAACAGGAUUAGAUACCCCUGUAGUC
rnacentral:rRNA from 1 species